rnacentral:snRNA from 1 species
AUCUUUGUGCUCGGGUAUUACUGUCGUCAGUGAGGUCACGACCGAGACACAGUCAUUUUGCUGAUUGCAAAUUAUAAAUCCGAACCCGUCUAUUAGCUUCGGCUAUUAGCAAUUUUUGGAAAGCACUUACCUUUUGGUAUUCUUGUAUUCAUUAGCUCUAUGAUGGUGA